UACGUAGGGCGCGAGCGUUAUCCGGAAUUAUUGGGCGUAAAGAGCUCGUAGGCGGUUUGUCGCGUCUGCCGUGAAAGUCCGGGGCUUAACUCCGGAUCUGCGGUGGGUACGGGCAGACUAGAGUGCAGUAGGGGAGACUGGAACUCCUGGUGUAGCGGUGAAAUGCGCAGAUAUCAGGAAGAACACCGAUGGCGAAGGCAGGUCUCUGGGCUGUAACUGACGCUGAGGAGCGAAAGCAUGGGGAGCGAACAGG
rnacentral:rRNA from 1 species